GGGAUGGCGGCGGAGCAGGACCCCGAGGGGCGCGCGGCGGCGCGGCCGCUCCUCACUGACCUCUACCAGGCCACCAUGGCGCUGGGCUAUUGGCGCGCGGGCCGGGCGCGGGACGCCGCCGAGUUCGAGCUCUUCUUCCGCCGCUGCCCGUUCGAUGGCGCCUUCGCCUUGGCCGCCGGCUUGCGCGACUGUGUGCGCUUCCUGCGCGCCUUCCGCCUGCGGGACGCCGGUAGUCCCCCGCCCGCGCGACGAGCCCCCACGCCCGACGGAAGCCCCCACCCCGGGAGCCGCCCAUGCCCGACGGAAACCCCCACCCCACGAUCCCCCCACGCCCGACAGAAGUCCCCACCUGUGGCCGGUGGAAGUCCCUGUCCCCCAAUGGAACCCACCCAUGUCCCACGACCGGCCUGUCCCCGCGCUGGUCUCAGCGCAGUUACCUCGUUUCCAGACGUGCAGUUCCUGGCCUCGGUGCUGCCCCCAGACACGGACCCUGCGUUCUUCGAGCACCUUCGGGCCCUCGACUGCUCCGAGGUGACGGUGCGAGCCCUGCCCGAGGGCUCCCUCGCCUUCCCGGGCGUGAGUAGGGGUAAGCGGGCGGCGCGGCGGCCACGGGGUGCUGGGCCGAGCGCGGAGCUGACUUCGCUCCCCGCAGGUGCCGCUCCUGCAGGUGUCCGGGCCGCUCCUGGUGGUGCAGCUGCUGGAGACACCGCUGCUCUGCCUGGUCAGCUACGCCAGCCUGGUGGCCACCAACGCAGCGCGGCUUCGCUUGAUCGCAGGGCCAGAGAAGCGGCUGCUAGAGAUGGGCCUGAGGCGGGCUCAGGGCCCCGAUGGGGGCCUGACAGCCUCCACCUACAGCUACCUGGGCGGU
rnacentral:sRNA from 1 species